rnacentral:lncRNA from 1 species
AACCCUCUUCUGUUCCAAGCACUGUGUGAGACCCUGCCUUGGAUAAGUCAAAUGCAUGAGCUUAGGAAAGUAGAGUAACUGCUACAAAUAAUAAAAAACAGAUACAUCUGCAGUCAAGACAGUCACCACCGAAGAGUACCUGGUGAACCCUGUGGGCAUGAACCGCUACAGCGUGGACACCUCCGCCUCCACCUUUAACCACAGGGGCUCCUUGCACCCCUCCUCCUCGCUGUACUGCAAGAGGCAGAACUCUGGAGACAGCCACCUUGGGGGUGGUCCUGCUGCCACCGCUGGUGGUCCCCGCACUAGCCCCAUGUCUUCUGGUGGCCCCUCGGCACCUGGGCUGAGGCCUCCAGCCUCCAGCCCCAAGAGAAACACGACCUCUCUUGAAGGAAACA